rnacentral:rRNA from 1 species
UACGUAGGGGGCAAGCGUUGUCCGGAAUCAUUGGGCGUAAAGAGCGUGUAGGCGGUCCGAUAAGUCCGCUCUGAAAGUCCGGGGCUCAACCCCGGGAGGCGGGCGGAUACUGUCGGGCUAGAGUCCGGAAGAGGCAAGUGGAAUUCCUGGUGUAGCGGUGGAAUGCGCAGAUAUCAGGAGGAACAUCGGUGGCGAAGGCGCUCUACUGGACCACAACUGACACUCAGGGACGAAAGCUAGGGGAGCGAAUGGG